rnacentral:rRNA from 1 species
UACGUAGGUGGCAAGCGUUGUCCGGAUUUACUGGGUGUAAAGGGCGUGCAGCCGGGCUGACAAGUCAGAUGUGAAAUCCCGCGGCUCAACCGCGGAACUGCAUUUGAAACUGUCAGUCUUGAGUACCGGAGAGGUCAUCGGAAUUCCUUGUGUAGCGGUGAAAUGCGUAGAUAUAUGGAAGAACACCAGUGGCGAAGGCGGCCGCCUGGCCUGUUGCUGACGCUGAGGCACGAAAGCGUGGGGAGCAAAUAGG